rnacentral:misc_RNA from 1 species
GGAAAGUAUCAAUAUAGCAACAAAUUUAAAUGAUCCAAAGCCAUUAUAUAAUAAGGCCUAACUAAAUUACAAGCCCAUACCCAAAUAAAAUCCAAUCCUCGAAAGAAAUCCUAAAACAUUUGGGCACAAACCCUUCAUCACCGACGUUGCUCAAGGAUUUACUGACGCCACAAAAUGAACACGCAGGGAAGGUAAUAUAUGGAAAACUUUAGCCAACCAAAGCACAUGCAAACUAAACAGCCAACCGAUAAAUAGAUUUCCCAAAUAUUGUGUCAAACCAAGGACAC